CAGUUGUAGCUGAGCUGCCAGAAGGGAAACAGGACUUAAGGAAUGCUGAUUGGUGUGGGCCAAUUCCUGCAGAUUGUCUGUUGUGUAAGAUUGUUAUGUGGCCAAACCUGGGGGAAUGAGCUGUACUAGAGGUUGUGAGUAUUGUGUGGAAUGGAGAACAAGAUCUGUUCAGUUCUAUCAGUCAACACUCUCUUCCAGAAGAUGACCUAUUUAACAUUUCCAGGAAUAGCUAUGCCAAGCUUGUCAAUUGCUUUCUUGGAAAUACACUCAAGAAAAAUGGCUUCAGGCCAACAGCGACAUACAGAAAUCCUGGACUGGAUCACGGCCUAUACUUAGAUAGGGAGAUGGAUGCCUUCACAGCUGCUGUUUCAGGAUUCCGGUCUGUGAGCUUUAUAAGGAGUAAUGCCUUUAUUGGGACAGGGGGAGAGCAACUGGCCGUAUCCAUCCACAACACAGCAUCCCUCCAGUGGCUGUUGCUGGUAUCUAUCUUAUAUUUCUUUUUAAGAUUGUGAGCCCUUUAGGGACAGGGAGCCACUUUAUCUAUUUAUUUUUUAUUUCUCUGUGUAAACUGCUUUGGGAACUUUUGUUGAAAAGUGGUAUAUAAAUAUUCAUUGUAAUAGUGGUAA